UCGCAGCCGACCCCGGGUAACCUAGGUCCGUCGCCGUCCAGAGAGAGCGCAUAACCGUCUCCUCCUCGAUCCUUCCCACCGCCGCCUCCAUGUUGCUCUGUGUUGGUCGAAUCGAAGGGGAGAGUAGAUGAGAGAUGAGAAACAGACGAUGAAGGGAUGACGAGUCGAGCUCAAACAAGGCGCACAGGACGCCGUCGGCCGCCCCUUGACUUCAGCGAUGUUCGACGGCCACGUAUGAUCUCGAUCUCUUUCCCUCUCCCUCUCUCGCUUCCCCCGUUUCCCUUUCCAUCUUCGAUUAGGACGAGGUUACGCACCUUGAAUGAUCGAGCGGCAAUUGCAUGGGUUCAUGUGUGUGCGUGCGCGUGUGUGUGAUUCCCACGACAGUGGUGGUUAUUUGCGAUGUCGCUGCAGGUUUGGAAUGGUGGGAGGCUGCGCAGUUGGUGCAGAACUAUGGGGGAUUUUCGGGUGUCAGCUGUCACGCUUAAAGAUGGACUUUCAGUCUAACUUGUAGCGUCGGAUUUUAUUUGAAGGGUAAGAAAUCUGAUAUUUUUCAGGGGCUCAAGCUUUGCUGUAGAGUUCUCAACCUACGAAAACAUAUUGUUACUCUUGGAGGUGGUCAUCAAUAUUUCACUGCUUGGACCCUUGAUGCCAAUCUCGAAGAGUUGAUCAUAGAUGUCAUUGCAUUGCAGCUGGAAUGUAAGGUUGGAUUCUUAGUGGAGGCAGAUGAGCUACAACUAAGGCACCUUUUCUUAGACCUUCUGAGUUUGAUUUUUUUUAGAUGGUUGCACAUAUAAAUGGUUGCUUUAAUCUGAGAAGUGAUUGUAUUUAAAAAAUGAUCUUAAUUCUUUGUGUUCCGAGUCAUGGUGUGAAACAAUCCUGAACAAUACUAUGGACCUCAAUAUCGAGAAUAUUUAUAAGUUUUAUGUGAUGUGUUUAUUUGCUGUAGGUGUUUGGUGACGAGAGAUGCGAUGAACAUUCUGAACACAUUACUUGCGAAAAAAAUUGGUUCUUAUGAGGGAUGAACAAUUCUUUGGCAUAUCUGAAACUUCAAUGGCAAAGUGGCACCGGAGUGUCUUAUUUCUGCACCUUCAGGAGGAAUAUCCUGACACAGAAAUGAAUCUAGCUGGACAUAUUUGCAUGCUCGAACAGCUUCGGCGGAAGGAAAAGGAAAAGCUGGCAAGCAGAUGGAUAUUGCAAGAGAAAAAACAGAAAAUAAAAGGCAGCAAGAGGAACAUUAGCAAACGCCAAAAGCCAGAGUGACAGCAAUCAAGUCACCAGAUAUGAUAGUGGUCCUUUUAAAGAAACGCUGUUCUGCCUUCCCCUGCGUCUCUGAGCAGAAGCAAGCAGGAAAACAACGAGCAGCGCUCUUCUAUCAUUUAAUUUGUUGCAGGUAGCCAGGUACAAUCGCCAAGUCCUUGGGACUGGAUCUGGGUUUUUCUGGUUCCAGAAUUCCUUGGCGAAGAAUUCCCAAUGAUUGCUAGCCAGGAUAGCUCAGUGGAAUGUCAUAUCCUAUCCAAUAUCCAAAUAUAUGUUAAUAUUUGCUUGGGUUCCACGCUUAUGUUUUCUUAAUGAUUCAUGCCAUGCUAUUGCCGGCUAUUAUCGUUGUUGUAUGUAUCCUUCAGCUUCUUUAGGUGGUAAAUUCAUAUGUGGAAAUGUAAGCACACUUUUGCCGUAGUUGUUCCCACAGUCUUAAUGCAUUUCCUAUCUGAUCAAAUGGCAUGUAUAUAGUGUGUAUAAAGCCUGCAAAGGAGAAAUGAUUAUUGACCAUGUCUAGAGUAUGCUU